rnacentral:rRNA from 1 species
CGGGGUGCAGCAGGCGCGAAAACUUUACAAUGCUGGAAACAGCGAUAAGGGGACCUCGAGUGCCAGGUUACAAAUCUGGCGGUCGUGAUGCCUAAAAAGCAUUGCAUAGCAAGGGCCGGGCAAGACUGGUGCCAGCCGCCGCGGUAACACCGGCGGCUCGAGUGGUAACCGUUAUUAUUGGGUCUAAAGGGUCUGUAGCCGGCCGGAUAAGUCUCUUGGGAAAUCCAGCAGCUCAACUGUUGGGCUUUCAGGAGAUACUGUCUGGCUCGAGGCCGGGAGAGGUGAGAGGUACUUCAGGGGUAGGGGUGAAAUCUUGUAAUCCUUGAAGGACCACCAGUGGCGAAGGCGUCUCACCAGAACGGACCUGACGGCAAGGGACGAAAGCUAGGGGCACGAACCGGAUUAGAUACCCGGGUAGUCCUAGCCGUAAACGAUACUCGCUAGGUGUCGGCCACGGUGCGACCGUUGUCGGUGCCGUAGGGAAGCCGUGAAGCGAGCCACCUGGGAAGUACGGCCGCAAGGCUGAAACUUAAAGGAAUUGGCGGGGAGCACAAGGGCGAAUCGCG